rnacentral:rRNA from 1 species
GUAGGUGGCAAGCGUUGUCCGGAAUUAUUGGGCGUAAAGCGCGCGCAGGCGGUUCGUUUAAGUCUGAUGUGAAAGCCCACGGGCUCAACCGUGGAGGGUCAUUGGAAACUGGAGAACUUGAGUACAGAAGAGGAAAGCGGAAUUCCACGUGUAGCGGUGAAAUGCGUAGAGAUGUGGAGGAACACCAGUGGCGAAGGCGACUUUCUGGUCUGUAACUGACGCUGAGGCGCGAAAGCGUGGGGAGCAAACAGGAUUAGAUACCCUGGUAGUCCACGCCGUAAACGAUGAGUGCUAAGUGUUAGGGGGUUUCCGCCCCUUAGUGCUGCAGCUAACGCAUUAAGCACUCCGCCUGGGGAGUACGGCCGCAAGGCUG